rnacentral:lncRNA from 1 species
GACAGCUCUUCACAGCAUCUCCAGUCUCAAACACCCACUGUCUCCCCAGACUCCACACACAACCAUCAUAGCACCCUGAGAUUAAACACAGUUAACACACACAACCAUCAUAGCACCCUGAGAUUAAACACAGAUAACACACACAACCAUCAUAGCACCCUGAGAUUAAACACAGUUAACACACACAACCAUCAUAGCACCCUGAGAUUAAACACAGAUAACACACACAACCAUCAUAGCACCCUGAGAUUAAACACAGUUAACACACACAACCAUCAUAGCACCCUGAGAUUAAACACAGUUAACACACACAACCAUCAUAGCACCCUGAGAUUAAACACAGUUAACACACACAACCAUCAUAGCACCCUGAGAUUAAACACAGAUAACACACACAACCAUCAUAGCACCCUGAGAUUAAACACAGAUAACACACACAACCAUCAUAGCACCCUGAGAUUAAACACAGUUAACACACACAGCCAUCAUAGCACCCUGAGAUUAAACACAGUUAACACACACAACCAUCAUAGCACCCUGAGAUUAAACACAGAUAACACACACAACCAUCAUAGCACCCUGAGAUUAAACACAGUUAACACACACAACCAUCAUAGCACCCUGAGAUUAAACACAGUUAACACACACAACCAUCAUAGCACCCUGAGAUUAAACACAGUUAACACACACAGCCAUCAUAGCACCCUGAGAUUAAACACAGAUAACACACACAACCAUCAUAGCACCCUGAGAUUAAACACAGUUAACACACACAACCAUCAUAGCACCCUGAGAUUAAACACAGUUAACACACACAACCAUCAUAGCACCCUGAGAUUAAACACAGUUAACACACACAACCAUCAUAGCACCCUGAGAUUAAACACAGUUAACACACACAACCAUCAUAGCACCCUAAGAUUAAACACAGUUAACACACACAACCAUCAUAGCACCCUGAGAUUAAACACAGUUAACACACACAACCAUCAUAGCACCCUGAGAUUAAACACAGAUAACGCACACAACCAUCAUAGCACCCUGAGAUUAAACACAGAUAACACACACAACCAUCAUAGCACCCUGAGAUUAAACACAGUUAACACACACAACCAUCAUAGCACCCUGAGAUUAAACAAAGUUAACACACACAACCAUCAUAGCACCCUGAGAUUAAACACAGUUAACACACACAACCAUCAUAGCACCCUGAGAUUAAACACAGUUAACACACACAACCAUCAUAGCACCCUGAGAUUAAACACAGUUAACACACACAACCAUCAUAGCACCCUGAGAUUAAACACAGAUAACACACACAACCAUCAUAGCACCCUGAGAUUAAACACAGUUAACACACACAACCAUCAUAGCACCCUGAGAUUAAACACAGUUAACACACACAACCAUCAUAGCACCCUGAGAUUAAACACAGUUAACACACACAACCAUCAUAGCACCCUGAGAUUAAACACAGAUAACACACAGCAUAGACCCUCAAUAUACACUGUAGAAUAG